CUCGGCUCGGCUCGGCUCGGCUCGGCUCGGCUCGGCUCGGCUCGGCUCGGCUCGCCCCUCGCCGCUCCCCUCCUCUCCAGAACGUUCAGCCGCCAUCUCCAUGGUCCCGCCCCGCCGGCCUCCUGGCAGGCACUUUAAAAGCAGUGGGUCCGCCAGGCGGCCCUGCCGCGCUGCCUCUGCCAUGGCCCGGCUCGAUAGGUCGGUCGUUGUUGCUGCCGGCAUCUCGGGAGGAGCGUUCGAUUCUUCCUCACGGAACGCGCCCGAAGCAGCUACAUGAACGGCUUCCAGGCGCCCCUCAGCCCACCGGGAGCCUCCCAGACCCGCUCCGGUGCUGAGCCCGCCCUGAGGAGCGAGCAGUGCUGGGCCCGGUGUGAUUUGUGCUCUCCGUGGCUCAGAGGAACGUGCAGGAUCGCUGCUGGCAAAGUUUAGGGAAGGUAGAAUAAUGAUGGUGCGCUUAAAGUGAUAUAAUACUGCUGUGACUAUUUGUUGUGAAAAGCAUGGGGCCUUGAAUAUGACUACCUCCUUCCUUUACAUUGUAUCCAUUUGAAGAGGAAAGAAACAACGGUAUGAAUAGAACAAUGGAGAACAAAACCACACAAGUAUUCGUGUGUGUGAGAGAGAAAGACAGAGGGACCACACAGGUAAAGAAAGAGAUUGACAAGGAACAAGAGCAGCAAGGUGUGGAUUUGAGUGCCACAGAAGGAGAUGAGGUGUAUGAAGGACAAAGAAUAUCUUCGAAGAGAAAAAUAUCAUUCAGGAAUACUUAUGUGAGGGAAGAAACACCAGCAGUGAGGGGGUAGAGCCCUGAAUAUUUAUGAGAAAGUUGUGGGCAGGAAUAUACAGAAGUAGUAUCAGAGCCUCUUGGUCAUUCAAGAAGGUUGAGAGAGAUAAGAGUAUAUUAAAGCUCCAUACAGGUAGCUUGUUUAUAGAUAUCUGUAUAUGGAAGAAUGUGAGAAAUUGAAGAAAAGGCAGAAAAGAACAACAAAGAUGAAACAAAAAAGAAAAAAAAAAAGGAAGGAGAAAAAUGCAACUGUAAGGAAAUUUGAGCUAUUUGUUGAAAUAUUCAACAUAACUGAAAAACUGACAUUUAGUUAAAAACAUUUAGUUCUAUAUCUUUAAGCCAUUUUGAAAGACAACAUCUUUUUCCUCUGUUCCCAACCAGCUCAUUUACUAGCUCAGUUUCUUUGACUCUCUAGAUUAUAUCUUUUAUGGAUGACUAUAGUCACAGCUUCACAAUGGAUAGAGUGAUUACUAGAAGCAGGCAUAGGCAUCAUUAAACACUCCUGAAUGCGGGACAAAAAUCUUCUUCUUUAUUGUAUGUGCAG
ensembl:lncRNA